rnacentral:rRNA from 1 species
CGUUCAACCGCAAAAGAAGCAGAGGGGGCUUAGUGGUGGGGUGACUGCGUACCUUUUGUAUAAUGGGUCAGCGACUUAUAUUCUGUAGCAAGGUUAACCGUAUAGGGGAGCCGGAGGGAAACCGAGUCUUAAUUGGGCGUUAAGUUGCAGGGUAUAGACCCGAAACCCGGUGAUCUAGCCAUGGGCAGGUUGAAGGUUGGGUAACACUAACUGGAGGACCGAACCGACUAAUGUUGAAAAAUUAGCGGAUGACCUGUGGCUGGGGGUGAAAGGCCAAUCAAACCGGGAGAUAGCUGGUUCUCCCCGAAAGCUAUUUAGGUAGCGCCUCGUGAAUUCAUCUCCGGGGGUAGAGCACUGUUUCGGCUAGGGGGCCAUCCCGGCUUACCAACCCGAUGCAAACUGCGAAUACCGGAGAAUGUUAUCACGGGAGACACACGGCGGGUGCUAACGUCCGUCGUGAAGAGGGAAACAACCCAGACCGCCAGCUAAGGUCCCAAAGUCAUGGUUAAGUGGGAAACGAUGUGGGAAGGCCCAGACAGCCAGGAUGUUGGCUUAGAAGCAGCCAUCAUUUAAAGAAAGCGUAAUAGCUCACUGGUCGAGUCGGCCUGCGCGGAAGAUGUAACGGGGCUAAACCAUGCACCGAAGCUGCGGCAGCGAACGUAUCACUUAAAGCGAUUCAGCGGGUUACGAUUGACGGAGCGAAGCGACGUCAAAGCGUAUACAAAGUCGAGUCGGUUUAAGGAUACGUUCGUUGGGUAGGGGAGCGUUCUGUAAGCCUGUGAAGGUGUGUCGUGAGGCAUGCUGGAGGUAUCAGAAGUGCGAAUGCUGACAUAAGUAACGAUAAAGCGGGUGAAAAGCCCGCUCGCCGGAAGACCAAGGGUUCCUGUCCAACGUUAAUCGGGGCAGGGUGAGUCGACCCCUAAGGCGAGGCCGAAAGGCGUAGUCGAUGGGAAACGGGUUAAUAUUCCCGUACUUGGUGUUACUGCGAAGGGGGGACGGAGAAGGCUAUGUUGGCCGGGCGACGGUUGUCCCGGUUUAAGCGUGUAGGUGUGUGUUCCAGGUAAAUCCGGUUCACUUUAACACUGAGGCGUGAUGACGAGGCACUACGGUGCUGAAGCAACAAAUGCCCUGCUUCCAGGAAAAGCCUCUAAGCAUCAGGUAACAUCAAAUCGUACCCCAAACCGACACAGGUGGUCAGGUAGAGAAUACCAAGGCGCUUGAGAGAACUCGGGUGAAGGAACUAGGCAAAAUGGUGCCGUAACUUCGGGAGAAGGCACGCUGACAUGUAGGUGAAGUGAUUUACUCAUGGAGCUGAAGUCAGUCGAAGAUACCAGCUGGCUGCAACUGUUUAUUAAAAACACAGCACUGUGCAAACACGAAAGUGGACGUAUACGGUGUGACGCCUGCCCGGUGCCGGAAGGUUAAUUGAUGGGGUCAGCGCAAGCGAAGCUCCUGAUCGAAGCCCCGGUAAACGGCGGCCGUAACUAUAACGGUCCUAAGGUAGCGAAAUUCCUUGUCGGGUAAGUUCCGACCUGCACGAAUGGCGUAAUGAUGGCCAGGCUGUCUCCACCCGAGACUCAGUGAAAUUGAACUCGCUGUGAAGAUGCAGUGUACCCGCGGCAAGACGGAAAGACCCCGUGAACCUUUACUAUAGCUUGACACUGAACAUUGAGCCUUGAUGUGUAG